AUUGAACGCUGGCGGCAUGCCUUACACAUGCAAGUCGAACGGCAGCACGGGUGCUUGCACCUGGUGGCGAGUGGCGAACGGGUGAGUAAUACAUCGGAACAUGUCCUGUAGUGGGGGAUAGCCCGGCGAAAGCCGGAUUAAUACCGCAUACGAUCUACGGAUGAAAGCGGGGGACCUUCGGGCCUCGCGCUAUAGGGUUGGCCGAUGGCUGAUUAGCUAGUUGGUGGGGUAAAGGCCUACCAAGGCGACGAUCAGUAGCUGGUCUGAGAGGAGGACCAGCCACACUGGGACUGAGACACGGCCCAGACUCCUACGGGAGGCAGCAGUGGGGAAUUUUGGACAAUGGGCGAAAGCCUGAUCCAGCAAUGCCGCGUGUGUGACGAAGGCCUUCGGGUUGUAAAGCACUUUUGUCCGGAAAGAAAGCCUUGGCCCUAAUACGGUCGGGGGAUGACGGUACCGGAAGAAUAAGCACCGGCUAACUACGUG
rnacentral:rRNA from 1 species